rnacentral:misc_RNA from 1 species
UUGGAGGGCAAGUCUGGUGCCAGCAGCCGCGGUAAUUCCAGCUCCAAUAGCGUAUAUUAAAGUUGUUGCAGUUAAAAAGCUCGUAGUUGAAUUUCGGGAUCAAUAUGCUGGUCGUGCCAUUGGUACGUACUAGUAUUAUUGGUUUCUUCCUUCUGAUGAAUCAUGAUGUCAUUAAGUUGAUGUCAUGGGGAAUCAGGACUGUUACUUUGAAAAAAUUAGUGUUUAAAGCAGGCUCGCGCUUGAAUACAUUAGCAUGGAAUAAUGAAAUAGGACGUUUGAUUCUAUUUUGUUGGUUUCUAGGAUUGACGUAAUGAUUAAUAGGGAUAGUUGGG